rnacentral:rRNA from 1 species
GAGUUUGAUCAUGGCUCAGAACGAACGCUGGCGGCAUGCCUUAUACAUGCAAGUCGAACGAGAAAGUCACUUCGGUGGCGAGUACAGUGGCGCACGGGUGAGUAACGCGUAGAUGAUCUACCCUUCAGUCUGGGACAACUCUUGGAAACGGGAGCUAAUACCGGAUAAAACCUUCGGGUUGAAAGAUUUAUCGCUGGGGGAUGAGUCUGCGUACCAUUAGCUUGUUGGUGGGGUAACGGCCUACCAAGGCGACGAUGGUUAGCGGGUCUGAGAGGACGAUCCGCCACACUGGAACUGAGACACGGUCCAGACUCCUACGGGAGGCAGCAGUAGGGAAUAUUGCGCAAUGGGGGCAACCCUGACGCAGCAAUGCCGCGUGAGUGAAGAAGGCCUUCGGGUCGUAAAGCUCUUUUAUGGGGGAAGAUGAUGACGGUACCCCAUGAAUAAGCACCGGCUAACUACGUGCCAGCAGCCGCGGUAAUACGUAGGGUGCGAGCGUUGUUCGGAAUUACUGGGCGUAAAGGGCGUGCAGGCGGAUUGGUAAGCCGGAGGUGAAAGCCCGGGGCUCAACCCCGGAGGGUCUUUCGGAACUGCCAGUCUUGAGAGGGUCAGGGGCCAGCGGAAUUCCUGGUGUAGAGGUGAAAUUCGUAGAGAUCAGGAGGAACACCGGCGGCGAUAGCGGCUGGCUGGGGCCACUCUGACGCUGAGGCGCGAAAGCGUGGGGAGCAAACAGGAUUAGAUACCC